AGGAGCUGGCUGCAGGAGUCAGCGGGGUUUCUUCUGAUGUGAAGUCUGUAACUGGAACAGAUCAAUCAAAGCUGGUGCAUCUGUGCGGGUAUUUCACAUCUCUGCUUUCCAGAACAGGGCUUGUGCUCACUAACUCCUACCCAGGACCCCCUAAAACCUGCAAUAAAAGCAAUUUAAUUAGUGAGCAGACCCUCAGCUGGGCUCCAGCCCAAGGGGAAUCCAGCCCUUUGCAUUGCUCACCGGUCAGUUCUCAGUCCCUAUGUUUGGACCAUGGGAAUUUGGUCAGAAUUCCUGGGCUUUGCGGCAAAUCUUUGCUCUUGGUCGGGUUGUCUGAGAGGUGUCCUUGAUCUCAGCCAGUGCAUCCAAACUGCUGGCGUCAGCAGAUUUGUAAGAAGACCGGAAAGUGGGAAAACAGCUUACACAUCCCUGCCCAGCUCUGCUCCCUCAGCCACAGACAGCCGAGGAGGUGAGGAGAACUGAAUCCAGAAUGAAGGAAACCAACUUUUACAGCCUAUUCAGAAGAAGCCAUUUAUUUAACGGAAAGAUUUGUCUACAGCAUUUUGUGCUCUGUGUUUUAUACAUCAAGUGCAAAAUUAUCCUUUCGAAGAAUAAGGCUCCUUUCAACAAGGUGCUAAUAUCUGGUAAACGGACCAACACCGCAAUGGAUUUUUAAGUAAUGUGUGUGUCUAGCCUGAAUCUAGAGGACUGCCUCAGGACUGCCUGCUUCUUCUCCAGCUAAUAUUGACCAGUAUUGACCAAAACAAGAGCAGUGCCUACCUGUCCUCAUUCAGCCCUCUGCUCAUUUUAUACAUGCCCAAGGUGACAAAGCACCAGCUCUUGACCUGGCAGCACAGAUGGAGCAUCAGCACAGAGGCUGCAAGGCUGAGGGUUCCCCAGCUCCUCCAGCCUGUAUGCCACCUGCAGCCUCAAAUGGGACAGAAACCAACACCCAACACUUAUUCCAUUCCAUUCCACUCCCAUGGGCAGCCAUCUGGGAGUGGCACAUGGCUGGAGAGCAUCACGUGCUUCCUGCUAUUGCAAGCAAAGGGGGUUCACCCACCCAUCUCCAUGCGGAGUGAAUCACCCUCUGGCAUCAGCCACCUCCCACCAGGUGCUACAGAGAGAAAUCCUGAAGGAACCGUGCAGACUGUGCUCUGGGGAAGUUCAACCUUCAGGAUCACUAUGACCCCUUCACAAAGGAAAAAAGAUGAGAAGGGCCAUGUCUAGCAUCAAGGACACCUGGACCAAUCAAGGAAUCUAGGUGCUCUGUGAUCUUCUACUGGUCUAAAUUAUUUGGGUUUGAAAUGAACUUCACACAGUGCUACAAGGAAAAGGGAAUGUUCAGCAGAGCAAAUAAUUGAGAUCCUGCAAUGGAGAUGACAGCUAUUUGGAGACUCCUGCUGGGAUGCCAGCAGUAUCCACUGGGACACACACUGAGAUCCAUUGGCCAAGCUGUUUCCCUCCACGUGGGCUGAAUACCCAGUGCUGGCAAGAGGCAUUUGUGCUGCUAAGGUUCUUGACAAAAAAGCCACUGAAGAGCUGAGAUGGAAAAAUCCUACCAGAAGUGGGUUCAGCUUUCUGUCAUUCCUAAAAGACUUGACCAUACCAGAAGAAAAUUUAUAAUAAGCAAAAGUCAGAAUUUAAAAAGCCUUUCCUUUCUCUUCAUCCCUUCCACUUAGUGCAAGAAGAUUUAUUGCUUACCAUAUACCCUUUCAAGACUACUUUCAUGGAAGUGCAAGUCUAGUAAAGUAAAAGACUGUUGCAUUUAAAAUUCACCCACAUUCAGUUCUUGAAGUCCAUGGAAAAACUGCCCCUGAACUUGAAGGUUUGGGUGGGAAGUUAUCAGGUUCUCAGUGUUCAGCCCUGUCCAAUAGUAUCGCUUCCAUAUGGCAACAUAUGGUUCAACCACCUCACGCCAGUGGCUCCAUCUGAUUUCCACAUCAGAGGAGUGUAUAAAUUAUGGAGCUGCAUAGGACUCAAUAAUGAAGUUUCUUAGCAGUGCUGGUUGAGGAAAUGGAGAAAGCGUUCAAGGAUGCUUUGGGAUUCCUCUGUGCUAAACACUGAUAUUUGCUGCCAAAGUCAG
ensembl:lncRNA